GAGUGAGGAGUGCGUCCAGCUUUUUUCGUCACACAUGAAGCCACCCAUGCUCCACCCCUUUAUGCAUUAAUGAGUUCAUCGUGAAUAAGUGCAGGCGGGACUCUCAACAUGGCAACGCCCAGAAAAGGGGGUCAUUUUGGCCGUUCCGAA